GUGUUGUACGUAUGAGGGAGAGAAGUUCCGCCCUCCUGGUAAAGACAGACGAAGCCCUUAGGUCUAAUAACACAUGGACAGUGAUGGUAUUGCCAACUGCUUUGUGGCAUCUAACCACUGUUGUGC
rnacentral:ncRNA from 1 species